GACGAACGCUGGCGGCGUGCUUAACACAUGCAAGUCGAACGGUAAGGCCCUUCGGGGUACACGAGUGGCGAACGGGUGAGUAACACGUGGGUAAUCUGCCCUGCACAUCGGGAUAAGCCUGGGAAACUGGGUCUAAUACCGAAUAGGACCACAGGACACAUGUCCUGUGGUGGAAAGCUUUUGCGGUGUGGGAUGGGCCCGCGGCCUAUCAGCUUGUUGGUGGGGUGAUGGCCUACCAAGGCGACGACGGGUAGCCGGCCUGAGAGGGUGUCCGGCCACACUGAGACGGUGAUACGGCCCAGACGAGUACGGGGGGGAGCAGUGGGGACUAUUGCAGAAUGGGCGAAAGCCUGAUGCAGCGACGGCGCGUGAGGGAUGACGGCCUUAGGGUUGUAAACCUCUUUCAGCAUCGACGAAGGUCCGGGUUUUCUCGGGCUGACGGUAGGUGGAGAAGAAGCACCGGCCAACUACGUG
rnacentral:rRNA from 1 species